rnacentral:lncRNA from 1 species
UCACUAGUUCUUUGUGGCUGUGUAUUCAUUUCAGUAUCCUUCCUAGGAUUUGUGUGGUUCUUCAAAUACUGGAUGUGUAUUGACCCCAGAGUUUCUUCAAAAAGAUGGCCUAAUUCAUUGGACUUUGCCUUCCAUGAUCUGACUGCCAGCGAUGGUUGUCCAGGGAAGUACUCAGAUACUGAGCACUUAAUAUGGCAUUGAAUAUUUAUGCUCUACUGAAGGAGCGGUGCUUAAAAAGCUUGCUAAAGACUUCAGCAUAAAGGGGAAAGG